rnacentral:rRNA from 1 species
CCUACGGGAGGCUGCAGUGGAGAAUAUUGGACAAUGGGCGAAAGCCUGAUCCAGCCAUGCCGCGUGUGUGAAGAAGGCCUUCGGGUUGUAAAGCACUUUCAGUGGGGAAGAAAGCCUUGGGGCUAAUACCCUCGAGGAAGGACAUCACCCACAGAAGAAGCACCGGCUAACUCCGUGCCAGCAGCCGCGGUAAUACGGAGGGUGCGAGCGUUAAUCGGAAUUACUGGGCGUAAAGCGCGCGUAGGCGGUCUGAUAAGCCGGUUGUGAAAGCCCCGGGCUCAACCUGGGAACGGCAUCCGGAACUGUCAGGCUAGAGUGCAGGAGAGGAAGGUAGAAUUCCCGGUGUAGCGGUGAAAUGCGUAGAGAUCGGGAGGAAUACCAGUGGCGAAGGCGGCCUUCUGGACUGACACUGACGCUGAGGUGCGAAAGCGUGGGUAGCAAACAGGAUUAGAUACCCCAGUAGUC